UUAUUUUUUGAAAUUGAAAAGAAAUGUUCACAACAUUCACAAUUUCACAUAAUUUCAAUUAGAACUGUCAUUAUGCCGCAAUUCUCCGAGCAAUGCAAAUACAAUUGCCACAAUUGAAGGCCGCAGUUUCAAUAAACAACACUUGAAACACACACUCGCAAAUGGAGAAACUGUUGAUCGUGAUUGGGUGAUAUAUUCACCAUCGCAAAAAUCUCUGUUUUGUUUCGUGUGCCACUUAUUUAGAUCAACUAAGUCAAGUGAUAUCUUUGCUCAGUAAAUUUCACAAUAUAAAUCGGGAUUUGACAGCUCAUGAAAAUUCCAAAAAUUACGUUCUCAAUGAAUUGGCGUACAAACAACGAGCAAAGGAAACGCAUGCACUUACGAUCGAUACCAGUAUCACAAUUCAAACAGAAAUCGAAAAGAAAUACUGGAGAUCCACUUUAAGACGAGUUGUUGCCGUAAUAAAAUUUUUGGGAUCGAGAGGGCUACCUUUUCGCGGUGUAAACCACAUAUAUGGUUCACUUCAAAAGGCAAUUUUAUAGGAAUCCUUGAUCUUCUAAGUCAAUUUGAUCCAUUAAUUGCAAUGCAUAUUGCGAAAUAUGGAAAUCAAGUCGAGCAUCAUAUCUGUCUGACACAAUUUCUGAUGAAUUUAUUAAUUUGAUUGGUGCAAAAGCAAUGAAUAUGAUUUUGCCCGAAAGCGUCGACUCAACACCUGACGUCAGUCAUUGUGAUCAAUUGGUAUUUUGUGUCAAAUAUGUGAAAAACGAGAAGCCAAUUGAGAGAUUCAUUCAAUUUAAUCAUUUAUUUACCUUACCAGUACUAUUAUCGAUUUUAUGUCAAAACAUUCGAUUAAUUUCUCUGAUUGCCGUGGCCAGUCCUAUGAUAACACAAACAACAUGGCUGGAAAAUAUUCCGGACUUCAACAGCGUAUUCUAAAACUAAACAAAUUCGCAAUAUUUUUGCCAUGCUCUUCUCAUUCAUUGAAUCUAGUUGGAACAGCAGCAGCUUCAAAAAAUAAUUUUUGUUUUAUGGAAAGCAUUUAUUCUUUUUUUGUAAAUUCACCAUCGCGCUGGAAACUGUUGAGCAAUGCAAGGUCAAGUCGUACUGAAAUGAGCAACUGGCACAAGAUGGUCUGAAAAAUUUGAUUCCGUCAAUGCUAUCAAUGGCAAUACAAAACAAGUGCAAUCAGUUUUUUUACGAUUGAUUAACGACAAAAGCCUCCAAACAAAUCCUGAAAACAAACUUCUCGCAACUGGACAUCUCAAAGAAUUGUGCAAAUUCGAAAAUAUUUUAAUGCUUAAAAUUUGGAAUGAGAUUAUUGUCAAAUUCGAACGUGCAAAUAAAACUUUGCAAAAUUUGGAUUUGAAUCUUUCAGUGGCUGUAAAAAUAUAUCAAAGCCUUGUUGGACACUGUCAGGAUUUAGAAGACCGAUUUAACGAUUUUCUUCAAGAUGCAAAAUCAACGUACAUGGAAUUAAAUUACGAAGAACAUACAUUUAAAAUUCAAACAGCAAUCACCCUCGAAAAUAUGGACGAUAGGGAGAAUGAAUUAUGUAAAAAUAUUUUCGCUCCUCUCAUUGAAUCAUUAGACACUAAUCUGGAAACACGAAUGGCUUGUUACGUAGAAGUAGAAGGAAGAUUUGGCUUUCUUUCACGGCAGCAUGGACUGAAUUUCGAUGAAAUCUCGGUAGCAUGUCACAAAAUAGCAUUACUUUAGGGGGGUGAUGUUGAUGAAAAAGAAUUGAUUUCAGAAUGCGAGAUCGCUAAAAAAAUUAUCGAAGAUGGAUUAAAAACUCUUUUUCCAAAUAUUGAAAUAUUGUUGCAGAUUUUCCUAUCGCUCUUUAUUACAAAUGUGCCCAAUGAACGAUCUUUUUCAAAACUAAAAUUCAUUAAAAAUGCUUUACGAAACAGUUUGUCUGACGAAAUUCUCUUGCUUUGAUGUCAAUUGAAAAUGAAAUUUUGGAUUCACUGAACUUGGACGAAAUCAUUAAUGAAUUUGUGUUGUUGAAGGUACG